rnacentral:sRNA from 1 species
GCCGGGUGCAAUGGCGCAUGCCUGUAAUCCCAGUGGCUUUGGAGGCUGAGGCAGGAGGAUCACAAGUUCAAAGCCAUCCUCAGUAAAAGCAAGGCCCUAAGCCCCUCAGUGAGACCCUGUCUCUA